ensembl:lncRNA
GCCCGGCCCGGGGCCCUCCGCCACCCGCCGGUCGGGAAAAGGGCCGCUGCGGCUCCAGCGGGGCGUGCGAGCCCGGUGCCGUUACGGCGAUCAAAAAGCACCGCCGCUUCUCCGCACGUACUCCGCAAUUACAGCUUUCUAACAGCUGCACCUCCGACUCCGCUCGCUGCAAUCCGUCAGCAGCCAGGUGUUGGGGUCUGUCGGAGGGAGAGCGGGGGAGUUCCGUGCGCCGGAGCCUUAAUUGCAGCGCUGCGGCUCUCAGCUCUGAAAGUUGUGCGCGAGGGGUUCUGAUGCGAGUGAUAAAACGAGCGCUUAACGUUAUUAUUGCCGUUCUGCUCAGAUACUGUCAGCGACAUUAAUGACAAAUGGAAACGGCUUAUUUUAUAUGGAGAGCGGUGCUAAGGAGGGCUCUCUCCCCGGCUUGUUAAAUAUUUGACCUGGCAAGUGUCACGGAGGAUUUUGAUAUUAAUCUAGGAAAUUCGCUAUUUUUUCUAAUAGAGAUUGACUUCCGGACAUUAAUGUUUUUAGGUAAAAGGGCCGCGUUUGUUAUUUCGUUCCCCCGUUCCGACUAGCUGGAUGGCUCGAGGAGCUGACAGCAGCCGCUGGUCCAUGCCACCGAACUAAAGUAAUUUCACAGUGAAAAACCAGCUCGGGAGGACAAGCAACAGAAGGGCAAAAGCCAUCACAACCCCAAACUCAGAUCGAUCUGACCGGAGUCAGGCAUACAUUAGUUUAAAUUAAACAGUUUCAUCUUCCUCACAAAUCUUUUUUGAACGCUAAAGAUAAACUCAUGUAAUAUUUAAAUCAACCCCUGUCAGACGCUAAGUGCAACCGAAGAACCAAAAUAAAAAUUAAUGACUUUCCCGGCGCUGUGCUCGGCUCGCUCUGGGUGCCGCUUCGACAAAAUACUUCUGAUAAGCGACGCUUAGAAAAGAAGGGUUCUGUUUAUCUUAUCUGUGGGGAAAUGUAAUUAAGCUGGUUUUAUGAAACAAUAAAACACAGACUCCACAGACAGCAAAGGAGUUCCUGCAGUAUAUCUCGGCCUAUAUGGGCGUAUGUAUCUUGGCUUGUGCGCGCAGGUCGAUACCGAACACACACAUACAUGUUUGCCUUCCUGAUUUCCGAGCGCUAAGCGGACGGCGGAGCUGAGCACGGGGAUGCCUCCGCGACCGGGAGGAUUUACUCGGCUGUAGGAGGCCUCGUUUUGCGGGACGGGGAAGUCGCUCCCCACCACCUUCGAAUCCGCCCUGAGCGCUACGGCCCCGCUCCCCUGCGCCGGGGCUUUGCUAAGCCGUGCGGGCUGCGAGCGAGAUGGCCCAGGCGAGCGGAGCCCCGAAGGCCCAGGCUGGCCCGGACAGGGGCACACGUGCAUUCCUGUUCUGUGAAAUACAGACCAAACUCCAUUCUUUCAUAUUCAGAAAAGACGGAGAGAAAUACUGCCUUUCUUUCAUACUAUUGGCUUUCACCGCAGGCUUUCGUCUUCAGAUGAAUUAAAGACAACCUGACAAUGCUGUCAUCUGUCUUCAACGUCACAUCAAGGCAAGCAGUAAUGAUAACAGAGCAGCAGAAGGACGCCUACUGAAACCUGGAGGAUAUAUACGCAUACAUACACACGCAUAUAUAUAUAUGCCUCAGAACAGUUCGAAAGAACAAAAUUAGAUCGCUGUUCUUAAGCCAUCGCGGCGAGAACGUCCAACAACGAUUGAUGUUUAAGCAACAGCCCCACAUUUCCCUCUCUUCUCCGCGAGGCGCGCGCUCCUCGGCCCUCACCACCUCUGCGGGAAGGGGCAGGAGGACGGGCAGCCGCACCGCCUGUUCCCCAACUACUGCGACCAAACGGGAACGCGAACGCGCCGCCCUCCCCCUCCGUGCCUUCGGGCUCUCGCUUCGCCCAGCGGCCGCUCCCCCGAGGCGCGGGCCCCCGAG